CGGUUUCUGGCCGGACUUGUCCGCGUUCUGCUUUGCUGCCGCGCGCCUUUAAAUGACUGGCAAAUAGGCAAAUAUCAAAUAGCAUGGGGUCAAGCCAAUUUGGGAACUUUUUUUUUCUUCAGCCCCCCCUCGCUCUGCGUAUCACUCUGCCCUUAUUCUUACUGGCUGGGUAAUGUGUGCAUGGCGUGGUGAAAUGCGGGUAGUCGAACAGUUGGCUUGGAAGGAGAGCAUUCACUCAGUGUGCUAGACUCAUAACCUUUCCAUUUGUGAAUAUGAGCCAUGCAGAAGAAGAACAAGCUGCUAUGUCCCCCAUUUCAGUUAAAGAGGGAAACCGGUGCACGCGCGCACCAACAUCAGCAUCUGAUGAAGUCCCCGAGAAGGAUGAAGAUGAACUGGCCUUUCUGAUCAAAGCACCCUCUAAUGCUCGAGGCUGGCCCCGCAUAGGCCGGUGAGGGAGGUCCCUCCGCCCCCCCCCCCUGGACAUCGAGGGGGCACCGGCGUACACUGUACGGUCCAUCCUGGACUCUAGGCGCCGGGUGGGGGGCUUGCAGUACCUCGUGGAUUGGGAGGAGUACGGCCUGGAGGAGAGGUGCUGGGUAAGGAGGGGGGACAUCUUUGGACCCAUCAUCGCUGAGUGAGUUCCACAACCUCCGUCUGGAUCGUCCUGCGUCUCAUCCUCCGGAUCGUCCUCGAGGCCGACUUCCACCGAAGGUGGCUCCUCUCCCUGUUCGGGUGGUGCUUGGCGAUUGUCGGCGCCGGUCUACUAGCUGCCACCGAUCCUUUUUUCUUUUUUCAUUUGGUCUUGUCUGUUUUGAUUGUGCACCUGUUCCUUGUUUAGGUUGAUUCGUGUGGGUAUUUAUUUUCUCCCUACCCGCUUUGUUUCGUGCGGGUUGAGGAGGUAAGCAAAUUGGAGUGGGUCUAGGGUAUCAGGUAGGGUGGAGGUGAUAAGCUCCUUGACCAGUCUCUCAAAUCACUUCAUGAUGACAGAAGUGAGUGCAAUGGAGCGAUAGUAAUAGAUUAAUUGAAUAUGUCCGUAAACACGCCAGCCAGCUGGCAUGCGCAUGCUCUGAGGAUGCGGCUAGGGGUGCCGCCUGGGCCGUCAGCCUUGCGAGGGUUAACACGUUUAAAUGUUUUACUCACGUCGGCCACAGAGAAGGAGAACCCACAGGCUUUGGUAGCUGACCGUGUCAGUGGCACUGUAUUGUCCUCAAAGCGAGCAAAGAAGUUGUUUAAUUUGUCUGGGAGCAAGACGUCGAUGUCCGCGACGGAGCUGGUUUUCUUUUUGUAGUCUGUGAUUGACUGUAGACCCUGUCACAUACGUCUUGUGUUUCAGCCAUUGAAUUGCGACUCUACUUUGUUUCUAUACUGACGCUUUGCUUAUUUGAUUGCCUUGCGGAGGGAAUAGCUGCACUGUUUGUAUUCGGUCAUGUUUCCAGUCGCCUUGCCAUGAUUAAAAGCGGUGGUUUGCGCUUUCAGUUUUGCCAUCAAUCCACGGUUUCUGGUUAGGAAAUGUUUUAAUAGUCACAGUGGGUACGACAUUUCCGAUGCACUUGCUAAUAAACUCGCUCACCGAGUCAGCGUAUACAUCAAUGUUGUUGUCUGAAGCUAUCCGGAACAUAUCCCAGUCCACGUGAUCGAAGCUAUCCUGAAGCGAGGAAUCCGAUUGGUCAGACCAGUGUUGGAUGGACCUGAGCAUGGGUGUUUCCUGUUUUAGGUUCUGUCUAUAGGCUGGGAGCAACAAAAUGGAGUCAUGGUCAGAUUUGCCGAAGGCAGGGUGGGGGAGGGCUUUGUAUGCAUCGCGGAAGUUAGAGUAGCAAUGACCCAGAAUGCUAGCAGCCCAUGUCGCGCAUUUGAUAUGCUGAUAGAAUUUAGGAAGUUUCGUUCUCAGGUUAAGAUAAUGUGGUCAGCAUUUGAUUGUAAGGAAUUCUAAGUCAGGUGAACAAAAGCACUUAAGUUCCUGUAUGUUGUUGUGGUUACACCAUGAGUCGUUAAUCAUGAGGCAUACACCCCCGCCCUUCUUCUUACCAGAGAGAUGUUUUUUUUCAGUAGCCGACUCUGACAACAUAUCCCGAGUGAGCUAUGUUUCCGUGAAACAGAAAAUGUUACAAUCUCUGAUGUCUCUCUGGAAGGCAACUCGUGCCCCAAUUUCGUCCACCUUGUUAUCUAGAGAUUGGACAUUGGCGAGUAAUAUGCUCGGGAGCGGAGCGUGGUAUGCUCGCCUUCUGAGUCUGACCAGUAGGCCGCUCUGUUUUGGGUCGGCCUCUGGGAUAAGAUCCCAUGUCCAGGGUGGAGGUCCGAAUGGGAAAGACGUAUUCCUGGUCGUAAUGUUGGUAAGUUGUCAUCGCUUUUAUAUCCAAUAGUUCUUCCCAGCUGUAUGUAGUAACACUUGAGAUUUCCUAGGCUAACCAUGUAAGAAAUAAUACAUUAAAUAAUACAUUAAAAAAAAGUUUCCUAAGGACCUGAAGCGAGGCGACCAUCUUUGGCGAGCGCCAUCGUCUAGUUCCACUCACUUAAAGCUCUAUCAAGUUGAUUGUUGAUCAUUGUUAGACAGCUACUUUCAAGUCUUGCCAUAGAUUUUCAAGCCAAUUUAAGUCAAAACUGUAUUGAAGAAACAUUCAAUGUCAUCUUGGUAAGCAACUCCAGUAUCUUUGGCCUUGUGUUUCAGGUUAUUGUCCUGCUGAAAGGUAAAUUUGUCUCCCAGUUUCUGUUGGAAAGCAGACUUUUCCUCUAGGAUUUUGCCUGUGCUUAGCUCUAUUCCGUUUCUUUUUAUCCUAGAAAAAACUCCCCUAGUCCUUGCCGAUGACAAGCAGACCCAUAAUAUGAGGCAGCCACCACCAUGCUUGAAAAAAUGAAGAGUGAUACUCAGAGAUGUGUUUUGCCCCAAACAUAACUCUAUUCAGGACAUAAAGAUAAUUUAUUUUCCAAUUGUUUUGCAGUUUUACUUUAGUACCUUAUUGCAAUCAGGAUGCAUGUUUUGGAAUAUUUUUAUGCUGUACAGGCAUCCUUCUUUUCACUCUGUCAUUUAGGUUAGUAUUGUUGAGUAACUACAAUGUUGGUGAUCCAUCCUGACCUUACAGAUAAUUGUAUCUGUGGGGUACAGAGACAAGUUCAAAAAUCACGUUAACACUAUUUUUGCACAAGGUAUCCAUGCAAUUUAUUAUGUGACUUGUUAAGCCAUGUUUUACUCCAGAACUUUUUAGGCUUGCCAUAACAAAGGGCUUGAAUACCUAUAGACUCAAGACAUUUCAGCUUUUCAUUUUUAAUUAAUUGUUAACAUUUCUCAAAACAAAAUUUCAGUUUGACAUUUUGGGGUAUUGUGUGUGGGCCAGUGACACAAAAUCUCAAUUUAAUCAAAUUUAAAUUCAGGCUAUAACACAACAAAAUGUGGGAAAAAAUCAAGAAGUGUGAAUACUUUCUGAAUGAACUGUAGGUCUCUCUGGGAGAUAAACAUUGUGCAGUGUAGCUAUUUCCUCUUCCUGUUUGGCUGGUGCCAGGCGAGCCACCCUGCUGCCACUGAGGAAUGUGGAUAAUGUUGUUGGCCCUGGGCACCAAGAACAGAGCACAGAGCCAUUAAACACACACACACACACACACACCAUACACACACAUACACACACAUAUCCACACCCAUUUCACCAACGGGCAGAAACUAUAACAACAUGUAAACAUGACAGGAAUAGACGUCUUCAAAGACAAAACCCUCUGGAAAAGACUUUGAAUGACUUUAACCUUGUUGGCUUUAUUCUACUCAAACACACUCACACAAACAUACACACACACGCACCCACACACAUACACACAUACACACAGACUCAGUAGGCAGGUCCCUUCCCUCUCAGAUCCACCUUCCUCUCACUUGCCUGACCUUCCAGUCCGGGGGGGAUGGAAAGAGCAGGAGCACUGUGGAACCGUGGGCAGCGAGUUAUGCAGGACUGAGCUUUGAAUAAUUGUCCCGCAAUAUGAGUGUCUCUGAUUAAUUGUCUGAGAUAAGGUCUGCUUUCCUCCCCCUGCCUGCUCAUUCCUCCCCCUCAGGCCCCCCUGCCUGCCUGAGCUCUAAUAAUCAGCCCUGGGUACUGAGAGGCAGAGACAGGGAGGGAAGGAGAGAGGGAGAGAGAGGGGAGCAGGAGGAGAAACAAGAGUGAGAGAGGGAAAGAGAGAAAGUGAGGGAGACAGAGAGAGGAGAUGGAGAGAAAUAGAGAGAGAGUGAGAGCAAGAGGAGAGAGAGUGGAGAAGAGAGAGUAGAAAGAGAGAUCGUGGUGGAGCAGAGAGAGAGAGAGGAGAGAGUAGAAAGAUAGAUAGUGGUGGAGCAGAGAGAGGAGAGUAGAAAGAGAGAUUGUGGUGGAGCAGAGAGAGAGAGAGAGAGAGAGAGAGAGAGACCAUUUUACUGACCUUUUCAUCAUAGAUUAUGAGGAUGACAGUUCUAAUUACUCAACAAUUACAAAGCCCCUCAUUACGGGUGACAGGCGCAAUCAGCAAUGCCAUGAAUAACUUAGCAAAAAAAUAACAACAUAUUUACAAGCUAACAAAUACAUACAUGAAAUACUUUGUAAAGGCGAAUAUGAGUGUAGACUAAAAGAGCAGGUGACAUAGAUUUCUUGACACUGCUAGCUACACACAGCUCUUUCACUUUGAAAUAACUUUAUAGACAGUCGUUUGAAUGAUGAGCAACAAUGAGUCAGCCAAGCAGUUGGGGCAUGUGGUGGGGGUUUAUGAGACCAACUCUCCUCUCCCCCAUAACACCAUGAGGCGAUAGCGACUUGACUUUGUUGAACUGAGUAUUUACACAUCAAAACUCCCUUCUCCCAUCUGUCCCAAAACCAGCCACCCAGUAAAGCAUGAAACGGACAACAGUCAGAUAGACAAGAAGGCAUUUCCUGAGGAAAAAUAAAUAAACGAAACAAGGAAGUGAAAAGAGUUAUAAUGGAGGCAGACUAACUGUGUGUAGCCGCAUUUACUGGUAAUCAGACAGGACCCUUUGUAGUGUUACAAUAUACCAGUGA
rnacentral:lncRNA from 1 species